rnacentral:rRNA from 1 species
GCAAGUCGAGCGCGAAAGGUCUUCGGACUGAUUAGAGCGGCGGACGGGUGAGUAACGCGUGGGAAUCUACCUUAUAGUGGGGGACAACAGUCGGAAACGACUGCUAAUACCGCAUGAGCCCUAAGGGGGAAAGCAGGGGAUCUUCGGACCUUGUGCUAUUAGAUGAGCCCGCGUCAGAUUAGCUAGUUGGUGGGGUAAAGGCCUACCAAGGCGACGAUCUGUAGCUGGUCUGAGAGGAUGAUC